AACGAACGCUGGCGGCAUGCCUAACACAUGCAAGUCGAACGAGACCUUCGUGUCUAGUGGCGCACGGUUGCGUAACGCGUGGGAACCUGCCAUUAGGUUCGGAAUAACUUCCCGAAAGGGGUGGUAAUACCGGAUAAUGUCUUCGUACCAACGAUUUAUCGCCUUUGGAUGGGCCCGCGUUGGAUUAGCUAGGUGGUAGGGUAAAAGCCUCCCAAGGCGACGAUCCAUAGCUGGUCUGUGAGGAUGAUCAGCCACACUGGGACAGAGCCCCGACCCAGACUCCUACGAGAAGCAGGGGAGGGGGAUCAUGGGGAACGAGCGAGAGCCUGAACCACCGCUGCCGCGUGAGUGAUGAAGGCGUUAGGGUCGUAAAGCAGUUUUAACCGGGCUGAUAAUGACAGUACCGGGAGAAUAAGCACCGGCUAACUCCGUG
rnacentral:rRNA from 1 species